rnacentral:lncRNA from 1 species
GUGAUUUGAAAAUUUUAGAACCCUUGUUAGUGUAAUUAAUUUUUUCAUGGUCCAAUGAAAGAAUCUCUUUGAGGUUCUUAAAAAAAAUUUUUUUUUUAGAAAUCAAAUGAUUGGAUUUCAUAACAGGGAAGAAAAUCAUACAUAAAAAUUUAAAUAAAAAUGAUAUAAAAACAUAUUAAAAAUACAAAUACAAAUCAUAAACGAAAAAAAAAACCGAUUAGUUAAAAUCUUGAUUUGAAACAAAAUAUUUUAGGUGAAAUGGUAACUCAUCACUUGUGCUUCACUCGGAAAUGGUAAGAGAAAUGGUAACUCAUCACUUGUGAAAUGGUAAGAGAAAUGGUUAAAAAAAUAAUCUUAUAAAGAAAAAAAAGCUUAUAAAGCGUGUAAAGAAAAAAAAUGCUUCACUCAAAAGAGAAAUGGUUUUCUUUGCAUCUAACUCAUAUUGGAAAGCUUAUAAAGAGAAAUGGUUUUCAACCAUUGUAGGAGAUGGAUUACAUCCCUCCACAAGGCCCAUCGAAUAACAGGCCUUAGCCCGGCGAGUUUAGCUAGUUUAGUCGGCUUAGCGGCUAAAGACGUUAGUUCAACCCCAGAGUACUUUUAGCCGAAUAACUGAGCCAAUUAGAUAUACUCGGCUUAGAGAGAAUAGUGUUGAGGCCCGCAUACUCGGUCUUGCACGUCAGGGCGCAAAGGACGACGCUAUUAGGGCAUCAUGGACAAGCGACCUAUAAAAGGAGGAUGAGGAGACAACAAGAGAGGACUUCUGGACAACUUACACACUAAGCGGCUAGAUCUAGGGUUUCUCGACCAUCUCUUUGAUCUUGUUGCUUUAACCUUUGAGCUUGUUUCCUUACUUCCUGGUCACUCUUGUAACCCCUUUUGCUUGAUUCUAAUAAAAACGUCUUUAGUCACCCCAUUUCUGAGUUUAUCAUUCUAAUCGACUGAAUCCUGUACAAACAAUUGGCGCCCACCGUGGAGUGGUGUCGGCGUUACCUACCUCAUCCCUUCUACUGAGCAACGUCCUUGGUCUCCUCCAGUC